rnacentral:lncRNA from 1 species
UUUUUCUUUUUUUUGCGGGCAAAAAAAGAGCGUAUCCAUGGACAAUGAGAGAGAGAGAGAGCAAUCCAAACCAAAAGAUCAAGUUCAUCAUCAGACACAAUUCAUCACUGGGCAGAUUAACUACAUAGUAGUACAAAAUAAACUAGAUAGACGGUGCAGGGCCGGCAGUAGUCAUCGGACCGGUGGUAGUAGUCCUCUGUGUAGGUGUUCCCAGCGGAAGGUGUGUCAUCAUCAUCCGUGCUCAUCGUACCGCUGCCCGAUGAUGACGACGAGAUAUCGAACGACCGGCACCUACUCCAUGAGCCUUGCCGCCUUUGCCUUGGCGGCCUCCUUCUGCAUUGUGAGGCGCUCCGAUUCUUCGAUACCAAGCCGGAGCGCCUUUGCACUCUUGCAGUGGAGGCGCCUCGCAUCCGUUUCCGUUGAGAUCGGCGACCAGCAAAGGAGAUCGCACAUGCUCGUCCGGGUCGACAUGCACGGAUCUCGCUUGUGAGGCAGGAACCGACCUCCGCCACCCCCUGUGUUGGGGAUAUAACUAUCAGUUAUGACCCGCCCAGGAGGGGCCGGGUCAGCCCCAAUGGUGGGUUACACAAGAAGCCCAGUAAACCUUAAAGACAAUAGUUUGUCAAAUCUUAUAGAAGGCCCAAAGGCCUGGAGGCGGCUUAAGGCCCGAUAUUGUGAACCGUCGUAUGUAAGGAAAUACUUGUAAAGAAAGGCAUGUAAAAGAAGUGACCGAGCCGGACACGAUUAUGAGCCGGCUGGGACUCUGUAAACCACCAGGCAUCAACCCGUGUAUAUAAGGGGACGACCCAGUGGAGGCUUAGGGCAAGAAACAAGAGAUCGAUAACCAAGUCGACGAGUUAAGCCUCUUGGUGAUCGAACCCUCAGCAAUACAAACACAACUAGACGUAGGUUUUUACCUUCAUCGUAAGGGGCCGAACUAGUAUAAAACCUCUUGUGUCAUUUGUCCUGAUUAACCCCUUUAAGUUUCCUAGUUGCGAUGGCCCUACGACUAAGUCCUUUCUCUAGGACAUUUGCCGUGACAAUUCCACGACAGUUGGCGCUCACCGUGGGGCCAGCGCACGGUGGAUUUGAGUUCUUGAAGGGCAACUUCGAAGGGCUCAAGGGAUAUGCUGUGGGUCAGAUGACCAAGAGUCGUCACGGCAAGCUCUACAUCGACGACGAAGGCUGGGGCCCCGAGGCCGGCUCGAUUGAGUACGGGUACCGGGUCCCCUUUGGUGGAAUUCACGUCUUCAUCAGCCGGAUCGGCGAGUCAGGCCCUGAGCCGGACGUCCACACCAACCUCAUCGAAACGGCUCAGCGGGCAAGGACCACCCAUGUUCAAUCUGUCGUGAAGCAUGCCUUUGUAGGCUGCGUCCACGGCGGUGAAUACUUUGAAGGAUCAGUGGAGGGCGGUGAGACGGUCGUCUGUUCUGACACUGCAUCAUCAACGGGCGAGACGGACUCUUUGUACCAGCUACAGGAUGGCAUGCUCAGGGGUUGUUCCGAUGGCAGCAGUAUUCCGGACCCCCUUCCGAAUUGGACCGGAGUCUUCAUGGCAGGGACACAGCCUGGGCAGAACUCCACAGCAGCAGUGGCGAUAGCUACCGGGUCGGCCGCAGCCGGGUCAGGAGAUCCCGCGUGCCCCCCGGCUCAGAUUCUAAUGGACCUCACGGAUAAACUGACAACUCUGCUGACUGAUGUGGUAGAGCCGGUGGAUAAAUCCUAGCAUGACGUAGAGGUGGCACGUGUACGUGAAGAGAUGGUGCAAGCUAAGGAAAAUCUGGCCGCAGAGGAAGUUAGGAUGGCAGCGGAACGGGCGGCUCUGGACGUUCGUGCUCAACAGCUUCAAGCAGAGACCUUUCGUCUCUCGGUGGAUUUGAACGCGUCAAACGAGGUCAUGAGGAGAAGGCAUCAGAAAACUCAGUCACGUCUACCUCUGACGCUUAAUCCUAGGAACCUAUUCCAUACACCCGGAGCUGGGGGAAGCAACCCGCCGGAGGCACACCGGAUCACGACACUCGGCGCGCCGGUCCAGUCGCGUGCCAUGGAACCACCUCGUAUCGUUACCGCUCCGCCUCACUAUGUACCAACACCGCCGGGUCACUUCUCCAACCCCUUGGAAAACCUCAUCGCAGCAUCGGCUCGUUUGGCCGCUCUCCCAAUGGAGGGUGACUCACCGGCGGCCGUCGAAACGUGGAGGGUAAGAGAACUUCUUCAAACAGCUCUAGCACAGCAGGAUGCAUACUCCUGCAGUCAAGACAGGAUCCAUUCAACUCCUCGCGCAAGCCGGAGCCCGAGCUGCAGUAGGCAUAUGGAAUCCGCAGACAUGUCAAGCAAUGCUCAAUGCCGCAACCGGCCACACAGGCAUGAGCCGGUGCGGGCCGGAGCCCUUAACUUGGUGGAUCAGGAGAGGAUUCGACAAGAGGCGGAAUGAGCAGUUCAACUGGCAGCAGAUCAGGCGGUUCGUCAAACUUUUCCGGCUUAUCCAGCAACCUCGAUCGAGGCAGGAGUGGCCACAAGAACCGGCGGCGUCCCUUUCUUGGUGCCGGCCAUACGUAAUGAGCGUUUGCCAAAGGACUUUAAGGGGCCUCGUAAGGUGCCUAAUUACACGGCUGACUUACAGCCCGGGGCUUGGAUUGAGAGUUAUGAGAUGGCUAUGGAGUUGUUGGAGGUCAGCGACGCAGCAAUGGCCAAGUAUUUCACUAUGAUGUUGGAUGGGAUAGCUCGUACUAGAUUUAAGGGGUUGUCGCCUAAUUAUAUCGGCUCAUGGGCGGAGUUAAAGGCCCGGUUCAUUCAGAACUUCAAAGACACGUGUAAGCAGACUAUGUCGAUUGUGGACCUAACUAAUUGUAAGCAAGAGGAUAGUGAGUCUACAACCCAUUGGGUGCGCUGGGUCAAGGAGAUAAUACAUUCGUCUGAUAAGAUGGAUGCCGGCUCAGCAGUUUUGAUGUUGGAGAAAAAUUGCUGUUUUGAACCUCUGAAGCAGAAGUUGGGGCGGCUCAAGCGUGACUGUAAUGACAUGGGCCAGUUGAUGGCGGCUCUCAUCAAGUAUGUUGAUUCUGAUAGUACCAAAGACCCGGUGUCUGAUGAAGAAAAGACAGCAAAGGGAAAAAAGAACGGCAACGGCAAGGGUCACCAGAAUAACCCGGCAAAUCAAGGAGGUAAUAAACGUACGGCUGAUGAGUUUGUUGCUAACACCAAUGCACAGGGCGGAAAUCAAUGGCGCAAGGGCAUACAACCCCCUCGGUCGGGCGGGUCAGGUCCCACCCUUGAGCAACUAUUGAAUGAACCUUGUCCAAGGCACGACACCUGGGAGAAGCCAGCCACCCACCUGUGGAAAGAUUGUACGAUCAUGAAGGCGUUUAAAAAUUCAAACGCGUUUGAUGGAGGUCACGGCCCAGGUGGUGGUUCAGGUGGAGGCAGUUUCCAAGGCCCGGGCGCCGGUUCAGGUGGAGGAGGAUUUCACGGUCAGGGCCAUCCUGGUAACCAAGGAGGAUAUAAUACACAACCCGGCCAAGGUAAUCAGCAGCAACAGUCCGGAUAUCAGAGCGACCCAAAACAACUAAAUAGUGGGCAAUACCAUGUAUUCACCACUAGUUUAUGUAAGAGGGACAGAAGCUUCACAAGAGGGUCGUCAAUGCCGUUGAGCCGGCGAUUCCAUGUUACUUACAUUGGUUAGAGCAGCCUAUUGUGUGGAGCAGAGAGGAUCACCCACCUCGGGUCGAUAAUCCGGGUCACUUGGCUUUGGUAGUGGUGCCUCAGGUUGGUGGAUACAAAUUCACUAAGGUACUCAUGGAUGGAGGCAGCAGCAGCAACAUCCUCUACUAUGAGACGUUUCGCCGGAUGGGGUUGACUGAUAAGAGUCUUAAACAAUCCAACACUGAUUUUCACGGUGUGGUUCCUAGCAAGUCAGCGUACCCAGUGGGUAAGAUUGAACUGGAAGUAGCCUUUGGGGAUGUGUAUGAUUCUAGAGCAGAAAAAUUAACCUUUGAGGUGGUGAAGAUCAAAAGCCCAUAUCAUGCUCUGUUUGGACGGCCGGCUUAUCCCAAGUUCAUGGCUCGGUCGUGUUAUGUAUAUUUGCAGCUCAAGAUGCCGGGCUAUAAGGCCACCAUCACAGUACAUGGGAGCCGGAAAAUAGCUUUGAGGUGUGAGGAAGGUGAUGCUGCCUAUGCUGAAUCUAUUUGUGCAACAUAGGAGUUAAAGUUUUACAAGGAUGAUGUUGACCCGGCAGACAUGACGUCAUUAAAGAAACCUACAAUAGAGCAUGAGCCAGUGUUGAAAUUCAAAUCAGCUGAUGACACCAAGAUGGUUGACUUUGUGCCUGGCAACUCAACCAAACAGUUCAUCAUCAGUGCAAACUUGGAUCCAAAAUAGGAAAGCACGCUCAUCAAGUUCAUCCCUGAGAACUGGGACAUCUUUGCAUGGAAACCUUCAGACAUGCCGGUGUCCCGAGGGAAGUAACACCCCGUAUGUAACUUGCCACAUUUGUAUUCCGACUCUUGCCAUUUCCGGCACUAAGUUAUGAUAUUUCCUCAUUGUCGGGUUUUUGUCUUCGUGUUGUUUUGUCUUUGUCAUGCAUCUCAUAUCAUGUCAUCAUGUGCAUCGCAUUUGCAUACGUGUUCGUCUCAUGCAUCCGAGCAUUUUCCCCGUUAUCCGUUUUGCAUUCCGGUGCUCCUAUGUCCUCCGGUGUCCCUUUCUACCUCUUUUCAUGUGCGGGUGUUCAACGUUCUCGGAUUGGACCGAGACUUGCCAAGCGGCCUUCGUUUACUACUGGUAGACCGCUUGUCAAGUUUCGUGCCAUUUGGACUUCGUUUGAUACUCCAACGGUUAACCGACGGACCGAAAAGGCCUCAUGUGUGUUGCAGCCCAACACCUCUCCAAAGUGGCCCAAAACCCACCUAAAACCCCUCCAUCAUCUAGGUCGUUCGAUCACGAUUGUGUGGCCGAAAACCGUGCUCAAUUUGGAGCCUCCUAGCUCCUCCUACCUAUAAAAAGGUCUCUCCCCCGAAAAUUUCGGAUCAUUCCACCCCUAACCCUAGCCCCGCUCCUCAUCCACGCACCGGACAUGUCCGUUUCUCGGCGAACACGCCGCGCCGCCGCCCCGAGCCAGUGAACGAGCGCCACGUGGCACGCCGGCCACCUCCCGUGCCGCGGCCCGCCCGGGCCCGAGAAGGGCCCCCNNNNNNNNNNNNNNNNNNNNNNNNNNNNNNNNNNNNNNNNNNNNNNNNNNNNNNNNNNNNNNNNNNNNNNNNNNNNNNNNNNNNNNNNNNNNNNNNNNNNNNNNNNNNNNNNNNNNNNNNNNNNNNNNNNNNNNNNNNNNNNNNNNNNNNNNNNNNNNNNNNNNNNNNNNNNNNNNNNNNNNNNNNNNNNNNNNNNNNNNNNNNNNNNNNNNNNNNNNNNNNNNNNNNNNNNNNNNNNNNNNNNNNNNNNNNNNNNNNNNNNNNNNNNNNNNNNNNNNNNNNNNNNNNNNNNNNNNNNNNNNNNNNNNNNNNNNNNNNNNNNNNNNNNNNNNNNNNNNNNNNNNNNNNNNNNNNNNNNNNNNNNNNNNNNNNNNNNNNNNNNNNNNNNNNNNNNNNNNNNNNNNNNNNNNNNNNNNNNNNNNNNNNNNNNNNNNNNNNNNNNNNNNNNNNNNNNNUUCGUCGCGCCGCCGACCGCUGCCUCUCGCCUUGCCGCGCCUCCUCCGCCUCCCGCCGCCUCGCCUCUGCUCGCCGCCGUCGCCUGCCAUGGCCAGAGGACCCCGAGGUCGCCUCCCCGUCGAGCUCCGGCGAGCCCCGGCCGAGCUUCUUCCUCUACUCCGGUGCCGACCCCGACGAUCCUCGUUUUCCGCGCUGGCCCGAUCCAGAUCCAGAUUCGGAUUAGGGUUGACUUUUUGCCCUCGUCCCAUUAAUUUUUGCAUAUUUCAUCGCAUCAUAACUCUGCACCUGUGGCUCCGUUUUGGGCGUGUAGCAUGUCAAAUUGUUUGUCUCGAUGAGUACUUCAUUUCAUAUCAUUGCACCAUGUUCAUUUGAGCUCAUCUUGAUGCCCUAAAUGUUGUUGCAAGAGUGCUAGUUUAUAUUAGUUUCAGAUUCUUAUCAGUAAUUGGACAUUUGUCAUUUUUGCCAUGAUUAAUGUGUGCCUCCUAUGAACUUGAGCUCUACAUGUGUUUUGAAGUAUGCCAUGCCAUCUUUACAGGGGUGUAUGCCAUGUAUUUUUGUGAUCUCUGUGGUGACUAGCACAAGCAUGCAAAGUAGCUCUCGUAAUGUUGCUGAUUUCAGGACUUAGAAAUCCUAAGUCAUUUUCCUGAUUAUAUUUUUAUGCCAUGUAUUCAUGUUGCUACAGAGUGAUCCAUGCCUCUUUUGAGCAUGAUCGGUAAGGAUGUUUUGUAGAUAUUGUGGUGCUCUAUCCAUCCAUGUAUUUGUUUGCAAUUAUGGAGCACCCUAGCUUGAGUCAGUCGAGCUCUACUUUUGCUAUAAAAUGUUCCUGGCAGAAUGUUUACGUGUUAAGCAUUUUUGCCGAGGUUGUUGUAGUCGAUCCAUGCAUGCUAUUAUGUUUUUCUUGCCAUGUUUAGCUUCUAUGCCAUGUCUACUUGCUGGGUGUAUGCUUAGUUUAUCAUCAAAUGCCUUGUGGUGAGUGCAUCGAGCUCGUAAACAUGCCUACUUAAUAUCUGUUUUGCCAUGCUCCAGUUUUCUACUAAGUCUGAAUCUGUUAACGAUAAUUGCUAUGUUCACAUGGUUGCCAUUGUAUUUUCUGAUCCCUUUUGGCUUAUGGUCAGUAAGGGACUUUUGUUGUAUGCUUUGAGUAGCUUCAUGCCAUGCCUUGAUUUGCCAUGAUGUGUUCCUGUAGCAUGUAGUUUUCAUGCUCUAAACAUUGCUCUUUUUCCAUGCUUGUUUGAACCUGUUAUUGAGUGAAUUAGCCGUAGCUCAGUGUUCAUCUUUUGUCAAGCAUCUUGAGUGGAUCCCUACCAUGUAUUUUGUUGUUAUGUUAGAGUGCAGUAGCUUGUUGUUCUUGAUGCAUUUAGAUGGUCUCGUGCUGUUAAUCGCAGAUCGGUGCCAUAUUUGUUUUGCUUGUCAUUUGCAAACCGUGCAUCCGAUUCCGGUGAUCUUUAUAUCAAUUUCGACCGAAAUCAACUCCUCUUUCCAGUGGCACUUUUGGAUUUCCAAGUUGAGGCCAGGUUCAAUCUUUCUUUUCCGAAACAUGCAUAUGCAUCGCAUAUCACAUCCCGCAUAUCAUGCCAUGUUUUGCAUCAUCUUGCUUGUGCAUUGCACGUGGUUGAUUGCAUCUCCCUUUGAUUGUUUUGUUGCUUUGGGUAGAUCCAGGAGACGAGUAUGUGAUCGAGGAGCCCGUUGAGUACGUUUACGAGUAUCAAGCUAACGUCAACUCGGAGAACUUUGCAGGCAAGAUGACCAUACCCUCGAAAUCACUUCUAUCUUUGCUUGCUAGAUGCUCGCUCUAUUGCUAUGCCUAUGCUACAAUACCUACCACUUGCUUAUCAUGCCUCCCAUAUUGCCAUGUCAAACCUCUAACCCAUAUUGCCCUAGCAAACCUUUGUUUGGCUAUGUUACCGCUUUGCUCGGCCCCUCUUAUAGUGUUGCUAGUUGCAGGUGAAGAUUGGAGUUUGUUCCUUGUUGGAACAUGUUUACUGAUGGGAUAUCAUUAUUAUAUCUUGUCUAUUUUAAUGCAUCUAUAUACUUGAUAAAGGGUGGAAGGCUCGGCCUUAUGCCUGGUGUUUUGUUCCACUCUUGCCGCCCUAGUUUCCGUCAUACCGGUGUUAUGUUCCUUGAUUUUGCAUUCCUUACACGGUUGGGUUAUAAUGGGAACCCCUUGACAGUUCGCCUUGAAUAAAACUCUUCCAGCAAUGCUCAACAUUGGUUUUACCAUUCACCACCUAGCCUUUUCCCUUGGGUUUCAUGGACUCAAGGGUCAUCUGUAUUUUAAACCCUCGGGCCAGUGCUCCUCUGAGUGUUGGUCCAAACUGAGCUGCCUACGGGGCCACCUCGGGGAAACUUGGGGGUUGGUUUUACUCGGAGCUAGUCUCAUCCGUUGUGCCCUGAGAACGAGAUAUGUGCAGCUCCUAUCGGGAUUUGUCGGCACAUUCGGGUGGCUUUGCUGGUUUAGUUUUACCAUUGUCGAGAUGUCUUGUAACCGGGAUUCCGAGUCUGAUUGGAUUGUCUUGGGAGAAGGAAUAUCCUUCGUUGACCGUGAGAGCUUGUGAUGGGCUAAGUUGGGACACCCCUGCAGGGAUUUGAUCUUUCGAAAGUCGUGCCCGCGGUUAUGGGCAGAUGGGAAUUUGUUAAUGUCCGGUUGUAGAAAACCUCUAACUUAACUUAUUUAAAAUGAAUCAACAAAGUGUGUGGACGUGAUGGUCUCUUUUCGGCGGAGUCCGGGAAGACAACACGGUCUCGAGUUAUGCUUGAACGUAGGUUGUUCUAGGAUCACUUCUUGAUCAUAGUUAAUCGAUCGUGCCUUUGCCUUCUCUUCUCGCUCUCAUUUGUGUAUGUUAGCCACCAUAUAUGCUAGUGCUUGUUGCAGCUCCACCUCAUACCUUUUAUCCUUCCUAUAAGCUUAAUUAGUCUUGAUCACGAGGGUGUGAGAUUGAUGAGUCCCCGUGACUCACAGAUUACUUCCAAAACCAGAUGUAGGGACCGAUGAUACCGCUCCAGGAGAUUCGACUGAGCUCAACUGGGAGUUCAAUGAGGACUCAGGACGAUACUACGUUUCCUUUCUAGACGAUCAGUAGUGGAGCCCAGUUGGGGCGAUCAGGGACUUUGUUGCAUUUUGGUUUGUUCUUUAUUUUGGUUCCGUAGUCGGACCUUGAUUGUAUCUGGAUGAAUGUAAUGUUAUUUAUGCUACUGUGUGACGUGGCGAGUGUAAGCCAACUAUGUACUUUUUUCCCUUAUUCAUUACAUGGUUUGUGUGAAGAUUACCUCACUUGCGACAUUGCUUACAAUGCGGUUAUGCCUCUAAGUUGUGCUUCGACACGUGGGAGAUAUAGCCGCAUCGUGGGCGUUACAAGUUGGUAUCAGAGCCUUCCCCGACUUAGGAGCCCCCUGCUUGAUCGCAUCGUGGGCAUUACAAGUUGGUAUCAGAGCCAGGUUACUGAAGGUCGUAAUGUGUUUGCGAGGAAUUGUUUGACUGUGGCAAACUGAUUCUGAUUGUUGCCAUGGCCUUGAUUCCCUUGGUUGCCCUCUUGCAAGAGUUGCAUGAUCAGUUGCGUGUUUGCAUUGGUAGCGGCCAUCACAGCUGCCAUGCCUCCGGAGGUGGAGGUGGUGGUGGCGGUUCAGGAUUCUGACGCGUUGGAGGAGCCAUCUUGAAGAGGGUGACAUCCGUUAGCAUCUUGACAAACAUAUAUUCAAGUUGAAUCAAAUGGAUCGAAAUUGCAACAUAUAGUCUUAACAUCCAAACAAAAUGAACGAAUGAAUUCCAAUUGAAAUGGUCACACUUCCAUAAAUUGAGAAGGCACUUAGAUAGAGGUAGAAGAUUAAAACAACAAGGUACGGACAAGAACAAAUACUUGGUAAGGAUUACCCAUUCACAAACCAAAUAUCCGUGGAAGAAAUACUAGAGCUACAUGAAUUCCCACCUAUGAAACUCCCGAAAUUUUCCCGAUUAUGCAAUCAGGUGUUGGGGAUACAUGGGAAGCAUAAUAUCUCACCCAAAGCUAGCAAAUCCUACAUCCAGAUGUAUCCAUCCUUCAACACAUAACCAAGAAACCUUCGAAAAUCAUUUACCUCAACCUUCGAAAAGCAUCCGUUAUACAAGUUAUGGCGAUACUCCCAAACUCCCGCCCCAGUACUAGGUGGCGUCCAGGUUAUCUCACCAACAACUGCAUAAAAGAGAUUUUCGAUGUCGGCGAAACUCAUGUAUUCCAGAAUUGCAACAAUAAAGUUGUGACGACAACACCUCAGAGCUCAACUCCCCGGGACACUGCCACAACCCCUAAAUGUCAGGAGGCACCAAGAACAAUGUUCUUGUCACAAAUCCAUCGAAACGAUUCCAAGAUACCCGCGUGAUCCUACAAAAAAUUUAGUGAAAUUUGAGAAGAGAAGAGUCAAAACUCUAUGUCAGGAUGCCUCACCAGAGCGACGAAGGGACUGAGGAGUAAAAAGAAUCCUACUCUCCGAUAUAUAUAAUCCUAAAUGACUCAAAACAUUUUUCUAGACUCAACAACGCCAAUGAUUCAAUCAAGCACAACUUUUCAUCCUCAAACUAGUGGCCAAGUCGAGCGAGUCAAUCAAAUUCUUGAAGAUAUGCUCAGGGCUUGUGUCAUCUCUUUCAGUAUGAAGUGGGAAGAUUGUCUUCCAUAUGCCGAGUUCUCCUACAACAACAGCUUCCAAGCGAGUUCAGGCAAGGCCCCAUUCGAGAUUCUCUAUGGCAGGAAGCGUCAUACUCCUCUUAUCUGGUCAAAGACUGGUGAACGCCAACUUCUUGGAAAUGACUUGAUCAUAGAGGCUGAAGAAAUGUGCAAAGUCAUUCGUGAAAAUCUCAAAGCCGCGCAAUCGCGCCAGAAGAGUUACUAUGAUAGCAAGCAUCAUGACAUGGCUUUCGAGAUCGGAGAUCAUGUCUACCUCCGCGUCUCUCCUAUGAAAGGUACUCGUCGCUUCGUUAUCAAAGGGAAGCUUGCCCCUAGAUACAUGGGUCCUUUCAAGAUCAUCAGCAAAAGAGGCGAUCUCGCCUAUCAAUUUGAGCUUCCAUCCAACUUUGCAAACAUGCACGACGUGUUUCACGUGUCUCAACUCCGCAAGUGUUUCAAGACUCCUGACCGCACCAUCAACUUUGAAGAGAUUGAUCUCCAAGAAGACCCGUCUUAUCGUGAGCACCCCGUUGUUAUUCUUGAAGAAACCGAGUGCAAGACUCGCAACAAGUCUAUCAAAUUCCUGAAAGUCAAGUGGUCACAUCAUUCCGACCGUGAAGCCACCUAGGAAUGCGAGGACCACCUCCGUUCCGAUUACCCAAAGUUUUUCCAGUCCUAGAUCUCGGGACGAGGUCCUUUCGUAGUGGUGGAGUGUUGUAACACCCUUAUGUAACUUGCCAUAUUUGUAUUCCAACUCUUGCCAUUUCCGGCACUAAGUUAUGAUAUUUCCUCGUUGUCAGGUUUUUGUCUUCGUGUUGUUUUGUCUUUGUCAUGCAUCUCAUAUCAUGUCAUCAUGUGCAUCGCAUUUGCAUACGUGUUCGUCUCAUGCAUCUGAGAAUUUUCCCCGUUGUCCGUUUUGCAUUCCGGCGCUCCUAUGUCCUCUGGUGUCCCUUUCUAUGUCUUUUCAUGUGCGGGUGUUAAACAUUAUCGGAUUGGACCGAGACUUGCCAAGCGGCCUUGGUUUACUACCGGUAGACCGCCUGUCAAGUUUCGUGCCAUUUGGACUUCGUUUGAUACUCCUGAAGGAAAUAUGCCCUAGAGGCAAUAAUAAAGUUAUUAUUUAUUUCCUUAUAUCAUGAUAAAUGUUUAUUAUUCAUGCUACAAUUGCAUUAACUAGAAACAUAAUACAUGUGUGAAUACAUAGACAAACAGAGUGUCACUAGUAUGCCUCUACUUGACUAGCUCGUUGAUCAAAGAUGGUUAUGUUUCCUAACCAUAGACAUGAGUUGUCAUUUGAUUAACGGGAUCACAUCAUUAGGAGAAUGAUGUGAUUUACUUGACCCAUUCCGUUAGCUUAGCACUUGAUCGUUUAGUUUGUUUCUAUUGCUUUCUUCAUGACUUAUACAUGUUCCUAUGACUAUGAGAUUAUGCAACUCUCGUUUACCGGAGGAACACUUUGUGUGCUACCAAACGUCACAACGUAACUGUGUGAUUAUAAAGGUGCUCUACAGGUGUCUCCGAAGGUACUUGUUGGGUUGGCGUAUUUCGAGAUUAGGAUUUGUCACUCCGAUUGUCGUAGAGGUAUCUCUGGGCCCUCUCGGUAAUGCACAUCACUUAAGCCUUGCAAGCAUUGCAACUAAUGAGUUAGUUGCGGGAUGAUGUGUUACGGAACAUGUAAAGAGACUUGCCGGUAACGAGAUUGAACUAGGUAUUGAGAUACCGACGAUCGAAUCUCGGGCAAGUAACAUACCGAUGACAAAGGGAACAACGUAUGUUGUUAUGCGGUUUGACCGAUAAAGAUCUUCGUAGAAUAUGUAGGAGCCAAUAUGAGCAUUCAGGUUCCGCUAUUGGUUAUUUACCAGAGACGUGUCUCGGUCAUGUCUACAUAGUUCUCGAACCCGUAGGGUCCGCAUGCUUAACGCUACGAUGACAGUUAUAUUAUAAGUUUAUACGUUUUGAUGUACCGAAGGAGUUCGGAGUCCCGGAUGAGAUCGGGGACAUGACGAGGAGUCUCGAAAUGGUCGAGACAUAAAGAUCGAUAUAUUGGACGACUAUAUUCGGACUUCGGAAAGGUUCCGAGUGAUUCGGGUAUUUUCGGGAGUACCGGGGAGUUACGGGAAUUCGUAUUGGGCCUUAAUGGGCCAUACGGGAAAGGAGAGAAAGGCCUCAAAGGGUGGCCGCACCCCUCCCCAUGGGCUGGUCCAAUUGGACUAGGGAGGGGGGCCCUUCCUUCCUUCUCCUUUUCCCUUCCUUUUCCUUCCCUCCUACUCCUACUACUUGCAAGGGCUCCUAGUUCUACUAGGAAAGGGGGAAUCCUACUCCCGGUGGGAGUAGGACUCCCCUAGGGCGCGCCAUAGAGAGGGCCGGCCCUCCCCCUCCUCCACUCCUUUAUAUACGGGGGCAGGGGCACCCCAUAGACACAACAAUUGAUCUCCUGAUCUUUUAGCCGUGUGCGGUGCCCCCCUCCACCAUAAUCCACCUUGGUCAUAUCGUAGCGGUGCUUAGGCGAAGCCCUGUGUCGGAAGAACAUCAUCAUCGUCACCACGCCGUUGUGUUGACGAAACUCUCCCUCAACACUCGGCUGGAUCGGAGUUCGAGGGAUGUCAUCGAGUUGAACGUGUGCAGAACUCGGAGGUGCCGUGCGUUCGGUACUUGAUCGGUCGGAUCAUGAAGACGUACGACUACAUCAACCGCGUUGUGCUAACGCUUCCACUUUCGGUCUACGAGGGUACGUAGACAACACUCUCCCCUCUCGUUGCUAUGCAUCACCAUGAUCUUGCGUGUGCGUAGGAAUUUUUUUGAAAUUACUACGUUCCCCAACAGUGGUAUCAGAGCCUAGGUUUUAUGCGUUGAUGUAAUAUGCCCGAGUAGAACACAAGUGAGUUGUGGGCGAUAUAAUUCAUACUACUUACCAGCAUGUCACACUUUGGUUCGACGGUAUUGUUGGAUGAAGCGGCCCGGACCGACAUUACGCGUACGCUUACGCGAGACUGGUUCUACCGACGUUCUUUGCACACAGGUGGCUGGCGGGUGUCAGUUUCUCCAACUUUAGUUGAACCGAGUGUGGCUACGCCCGGUCCUUGCGAAGGUUAAAACAUCACCAACUUGACAAACUAUCGUUGUGGUUUUGAUGCGUAGGUAAGAACGGUUCUUGCUCAGCCCGUAGCAGCCACGUAAAACUUGCAACAACAAAGUAGAGGACAUCUAACUUGUUUUUGCAGGGCAUGUUGUGAUGUGAUAUGGUCAAGACGUGAUGAGAUAUAAGUUGUUGUAUGAGAUGAUCAUGUUUUUUUGAAGUUAUCGGCAACUGGCAAAGCCUUAUGGUUAUCUCUCUAUUGCAUAAGAUGCAAGCGCCAAAUGAUUGAUUUACUUUAUCGCUAUACGAUAGCAAUAGUUGCAAGAGUAAUUGUUGGCGAGACAACCAUGUGGCGACACAUUGAUAUAGAUCAAGAUGAUGGAGAUCAUGGUGUCAUGCCGGUGACGAUGGAGAUCAUGACGAUGCUUUGGAGAUGGAGAUCAAAGGCACAAGAUGAUGAUGGCCAUAUCAUGUCACAUAUUAUGAUUGCAUGUGAUGUUUAUCUUUUAUACAUCUUAUUUUGCUUAGUUUGGCGGUAGCUUUAUAAGAUAAUCUCUCACUUAAUUACCAAGGUACAAGUGUUCUCCCUGAGUAUGCACCGUUGCGAAAGUUCUUCGUGCUGACACACCACGUGAUGAUCGGGUUUGAUAGGCUCUACGUUCAAAUACAACGGGUGCAAAACAGUUGCACACACGGAAUACUCAGGUUAAACUUGACGAGCCUAGCAUAUAACAGAUAUGGCCUGGAACACGGAGACCGAAAGGUCGAGCGUGAAUCAUAUAAUAGAUAUGAUCAACAUAGUGAUGUUCACCAUUGAAACUACUCCAUCUCAUGUGAUGAUCGGACAUGGUUUAGUUGAUUUGGAUCACGUGAUCACUUAGAGGAUUAGAGGGAUGUCUAUCUAAGUGGGAGUUCUUAAGUAAUAUGAUUAAUUGAACUUAAAUUUAUCAUGAACUUAGUCAUGGUAGUAUUAGCAUAUCUAUGUUGUAGAUCAAUAGCUCGCGUUUAGCUCCCCUGUUUUAUUUUUGAUAUGUUCCUAGAGAAAACUAAGUUGAAAGAUGUUAGUAGCAAUGAUGCGGAUUGGAUCCAUGAUCUGAGGUUUAUCCUCAUUGCUGCACAGAAGAAUUAUGUCCUUGAUGCACCACUAGGUGACAGACCUAUUGCAGGAGCUGAUACAGACGUUAUGAACGUUUGGCUAGCUCAAUAUGAUGACUACUUGAUAGUUUAGUGCACCAUGCUUAACAGCUUAGAAUCGGGACUUCAAAGACGUUUUGAACGUCAUGGACCAUAUGAGAUUUUCUAGGAGUUGAAGUUAAUAUUUCAAGUAAAAUACCCGAGUUGAGAGAUAUGAAGUCUCCAACAAGUUCUAUAGCUAAAAGAUGGAGGAGAAUAGCUCAAGCAGUGAGCAUGUGCUCAGAUUGUCUGGGUACUACAAUCGCUUGAAUCAAGUGGGAGUUAAUCUUCCAGAUAAAAUAGUGAUUGAUAGAAUUCUCUAGUCACCAUCACCAAGUUAGUAGAACUUCGUGAUGAACUAUAGUAUGCAAGGGAUGACGAAAACAAUUCCCGAGCUUUUCAUGAUGAUGAAAUCGACGAAGGUAGAAAUCAAGAAAAGCAUCAAGUGUUGAUGGUUAACAAGAUCACUGGUUUCAAGAAAAGGGCAAAGGGAAAGAAAGGGAACUUCAAGAAGAACGGCAAGCAAGUUGCUGCUCAAGUGAAGAAGCCCAAGUCUGGACCUAAGCCUGAGACUAAGUGCUUCCACUGCAAAGGGACUGGUCACUAGAAGUGGAACUACCCCAAGUAAUUGGCGGAUAAGAAGGAUGGAAAAGUGAACAUAGGUAUAUUUGAUAUACAUGUUAUUGACGUGUACUUUACUAGUGUUUAUAGCAACCCCUCAGUAUUUGAUACUAGUUCAGUUGCUAAGAAUAGUAACUCGAAACAGGAGUUGCAGAAUGAACAGAGACUAGUUAAGGGUGAAGUGACGAUGUGUAUAGAAAAUGGUUCCAAGAUUGAUAUGAUCAUCAUCGCACACUCCCUAUACUUUCGGGAUUAGUGUUGAACCUAAAUAAGUGUUAUUUGGUGUUUGCAUUGAGCAUGAAUAUGAUUUGAUCAUGUUUAUUGCAAUACGGUUAUUCAUUUAAGUAAGAGAAUAAAUUGUUGUUCUGUUUACAUAUAUGGUUACACACCCAAUGAAAAUGGUUCAUUGGAUCUUGAUCGUAGUGAUACACAUAUUCAUAAUAUUGAAACCAAAAGAUGCAAAGUUAAUAAUGAUAGUGCAACUUAUUUGUGGCACUGCCGUUUAGGUCAUAUUGGUGUAAAGCGCAUGAAGAAACUCCAUGCUGAUGGACUUUUGGAAUCACUUGAUUAUGAAUCAGUUGAUGCUUGCGAACCAUGCCUCAUGGGCAAGAUGACUAAGACUCCGUUCUCCAGAACAAUGUAGCAAGCAACAGAUUCGUUGGAAAUCAUGCAUACUGAUGUAUGUGGUCCAAUGAAUAUUGAAGCUCGCGGCAGGUAUCAUUAUUUUCUGAUCUUCACAGAUGAUUUGAGCAGAUAUGAGUAUAUCUACUUGAUGAAACACAAGUCUGAAACAUUUGAAAAGUUCAAAGAAUUUCAGAGUGAAAUGGAGAAUCAUCGUAACAAAAUUAGAAGUUUCUACGAUAUGAUCGCAGAAGUAAAAUAUUUGAGUUACGAGUUUGGCCUUCAGUUAAAACAAUGUGAAAUAGUUUCACUACUCACGCCACCUGGAACACCACAGUGUAAUGGUGUGUCCGAACGUCGUAACCGUGCUUUAUUAGAUAUGGUGCGAUCUAUGAUGUCUCUUACUGAUUUACCGCUAUCGUUUUGGGGUCAUGCAUUAGAGACAGCUAUAUUCACGUUAAAUAGGGCACCAUCUAAAUCCGUUGAGACGACACCGUAUGAAGUAUGGUUUGGCAAGAAACCUAAGUUGUCGUUUCUUCAAGUUUGAGGUUGCAAUGCUAAUGUGAAAAAGUUUCAAGCUGAUAAGCUCAAACCCAAAUCGGAGAAGUGCGUCUUCAUAGGAUACCCAAAAGAAAAUGUUGGGUACACCUUCUAUCACAGAUCCGAAGGCCAGAUAUUCAUUGCUUAGAAUGGAUCCUUUCUAGAGAAGGAGUUUCUCUCGAAAGAAGUGAGUGGGAGGAAAGUAGAACUUGAUGAGGUAACUAUACCUGCUCCCUUAUUGGAAAGUAGUUCAUCACAGAAAUUUGUUCCUGUGACUACUACACCAAUUAGUGAGGAAGCUAAUGAUGAUGAUCAUGUAACUUCAGAUCAAGUUACUACCGAACCUUGUAGGUAAACCAGAGUGAUAUCCGCACCAGAGUGGUACGGUAAUCUUGUUCUAGAGGUCAUGUUACUUGACCAUGACGAGCCUACGAACUAUGAGGAAGCAUGAUGAGCCCAGAUUCCGCGAAAUGGCUUGAGGCCAUGAAAUCUGAGAUGAGAUCCAUGUAUGAGAACAGAGUAUGGACUUUGAUUGACUUGCCCAUUGAUCGGCGAGCCAUUGAGAUUAAAUGGAUCUUCAAGAGGAAGACGGAUGCUGAUAGUAGUGUUACUAUCUACAAAGCUAGAAUUGUCGCGAAAAGGUUUUUGACAAGUUCAAGGUGUUGACUACGAUGAGAGUUUCUCACUCUUAUCUAUGCUUAAGUCUGUCCGAAUCAUGUUAGCAAUUGCCGCAUUUUAUGAAAUCUGGCAAAUGGAUAAACAAAACUACAUUCCUUAAUAGGAUUUAUUAAAGAAGAGUUGUAUAUGAUGCAACCAGAAGGUUUUGUCAAUCCUAAAGGUACUAACAAAAUAUGCAAGCUCCAGCGAUCCAUCUAUGGACUGGUGCAAGCAUCUCAGAGUUGGAAUAUACGCUUUGAUAAGUUGAUCAAAGCAUAUAGUUUUAUACAGACUUGUGGUGAAGCCUGUAUUUACAAGAAAGUGAGUGGGAGCAUUACAGCAUUUCUGAUAAGUAUAUGUGAAUGACAUAUUGUUGAUCAGAGAUAAUGUAGAAUUAUUCUGCAAAGCAUAAAGGAAUGUUUGAAAGGAGUUUUUCAAAGAAAGACCUCGGUGAAGCUGCUUACAUAUUGAGCAUCAAGAUCUAUAGAGAUAGAUCAAGACGCUUGAUAAGUUUUUUCAAUGAGUACAUACCUUGACAAGAUUUUGAAGUAGUUCAAAAUGGAACAGUCAAAAAGGAGUUCUUGCUUGUGUUACAAGGUGUGAAGUUGAGUAAGACUAAAAACCCGACCGCGGCAGAAGAUAGAGAGAGAAUGAAAGUCAUUCCCUAUGCCUCAGCCAUAGGUUCUAUAAAGUAUGACAUGCUGUGUACCAGACCUAUUGUAUACCCUGCCCUGAGUUUGGCAAGGGAGUACAAUAGUGAUCUAGGAGUAGAUCACUGGACAUUGGUCGAAAUUAUCCUUAGUGGAAUAAGGAUAUGUUUCUCGGUUAUGGAGGUGACAAAAGGUUCGUCGUAAAGGGUUACGUCGAUGCAAGUUUUGACACUGAUCCAGAUGACUCUAAGUCUCAAUCUGGAUACAUAUUGAAAGUGGGAGCAAUUAGCUAGAGUAGCUCCGUGCAGAGCAUCUCAUAUCAUGUCAUCAUGUGCAUCGCAUUUGCAUACGUGUUCUUCUCAUGCAUUCGAGCAUUUUCCCCGUUGUCCGUUUUGCAUUCCGGCGCUCCUAUGUCCUCCGGUGUCCCUUUCUACCUAUUUUCAUGUGCGGGUGUUAAACCUUCUCGGAUUGGACCGAGACUUGCCAAGUGACCUUGGUUUACUACCGGUAGACCGCCUAUCAAGUUUUGUGUCAUUUGGACUUCGUUUGAUACUCCAACGGUUAACCGAGGGACCGAAAAGGCCUCGUGUGUGUUGCAGACCAACACCUCUCCAAAGUGGCCCAAAACCCACCUAAAACCUCUCCAUCAUCUAGGUCGUUUGAUCACGAUCACGUGGCCGAAAACCAUGCUCAAUUUGGAGCCUCCUAGCUCCUCCUACCUAUAAAAAGUUCUCUCCCCCGAAAAUUUAGGAUCAUUCCAUCCCUAACCCUAGCCCCACUCCUCAUCCGCGCGCCGGACAUGUCCGUUUCUCGCCGGACAUGCCGCACCGCCGCCUCGAGCCAGUGAAUGAGCGCCACGUGGCAUGCCGGCCACCUCCCGGGCCCGAGGAGGGCCCCUGCGGCCCACAUCGCCCGGCCGCCGCCCGCAGCGCCCGUGCCCGCUUCCUCCUUCGUCGCGCCGCCGCCUCGCUGGCCCUGACCACCGCCUCUCGCCUCACCGCGCCUCCUCCGCCGCCUCGCCUCUGCUCGCCGUCGUCGCCUGCCAUGGCCAGAGGGCCCCGAGGUCGCCUCCCCGCCUCCCCGUCGAGCUCCGGCGAGCCCCGGCCGAGCUUCUUCCUCUACUCCGGCGCCGACCCCGACGAUCCUCGUUUUUCGCGCCGGCCCGAUCCAGAUUCGGAUUAGGGUUGACUUUUUGCCCUCGUCCCAUUAAUUUUUGCAUAUUUCAUCGCAUCAUAACUCUGCAUUCGUGGCUCCAUUUUGGGCGUGUAGCAUGUCAAAUUGUUUGUCUCGAUGAGUACUUCAUUUCAUCUCAUUGCACCAUGUUCAUUUGAGCUCAUCUUGAUGCCCUAAAUGUUGUUUCAAGAGUGCUAGUUUAUAUUAGUUUCAGAUUCUUAUCAGUAAUUGGACAUUUGUCUUUUUUGCCAUGAUUAAUGUGUGCCUCCUAUGAACUUGAGCUCUACAUGUGUUUUGAAGUAUGUCAUGCCAUCUUUACAGGGGUGUUUGCCAUGUAUUUUUGUGAUCUCUAUGGUGACUAGCACAAGCAUGCAAAGUAGCUCCCGUAAUGUUGCUGAUUUCAGGACUUAGAAAUCCUAAGUCAUUUUCCUGAUUAUAUUUUUAUGCCAUGUAUUCAUGUUGCUACAGAGUGAUCCAUGCCUCUUUUGAGCAUGAUCGGUAAGGAUGUUUUGUAGAUAUUGUGGUGCUUUAUCCAUCCAUGUAUUUGUUUGCAAUUAUGGAGCACCCUAGAUUGAGUCAAUCGAGCUCUACUUUUGCUAUAAAAUUUUCCUGGCAGAAUGUUUACGUGUUAAGCAUUUUUGCCGAGGUUGUUGUAGUCGAUCCAUGCAUGCUAUUAUGUUUUUCUUGCCAUGUUUAGCUUCUAUGCCAUGUCUACUUGCUGGGUGUAUGCUUAGUUUAUCAUCAAAUGCCUUGUGGUGAGUGCAUCGAGCUCGUAAACAUGCCUACUUAAUAUCUGUUUUGCCAUGCUCCAGUUUUCUACUAAGUCUUAAUCUAUUAACGAUAAUUGCUAUGUUCACAUGGUUGCCAUUGUAUUUUCUGAUCCCUUUUGGCUUAUGGUCAGUAAGGGACUUUUGUUGUAUGCUUUGAGUAGCUUCAUUCCAUGCCUUGAUUUGCCAUGAUGUGUUCCUGUAGCAUGUAGUUUUCAUGCUCUAAACAUUGCUUCAUGAUGUUAAAUUCAUGGCAUGUUGUUAUUUUCACUAAGUCGGUAACCUGUUAUCUUUUGCUCUUUUCCCAUGCUUGUUUGAACCUGUUAUUGAGUGAAUUAGCCGUAGCUCAGUGUUCAUCUUUUGUCAAGCAUCUUGAGUGGAUCCCUGCCAUGUAUUUUUUUGUUAUGUUAGAGUGCAGUAGCUUGUUGUUCUUGAUGCAUUUAGAUGGUCUCGUGCUGUUAAUCAUAGAUCGGUGUCAUAUUUGUUUUGCUUGUCAUUUGCAAACCGUGCAUCCGAUUCCGGUGAUCUUUAUAUCGAUUUCGACCAAAAUCAACUCCUAUUUCCAGUGGCACUCUUGGAUUUCCAAGUUGAGUCCAGGUUCAAUCUUUCUUUUCCAAAACAUGCAUAUGCAUCGCAUAUCACAUCCCGCAUAUCAUGCCAUGUUUUGCAUCAUGUUGCUUGUGCAUUGCACGUGGUUGAUUGUGUCUCCCUUUGAUUGUGUUGUUGCUUUGGGUAGAGCCGGGAGACGAGUACGUGAUCGAGGAGCCCGUUGAGUACGUUUACGAGGAUCAAGCUAACGUCAACUCGGAGAACUUUGCAGGCAAGAUGACCAUACCCUCGAAAUCACUUCUAUCUUUGCUUGCUAGAUGCUCGCUCUAUUGCUAUGCCUAUGCUACGAUACCUACCACUUGCUUAUCAUGCCUCCCAUAUUGCCAUGUCAAACCUCUAACCCACCUUGUCCUAGCAAACCGUUGUUUGGCUAAGUUACCGCUUUGCUCAGCCCCUCUUAUAGCGUUGCUAGUUGCAGGUGAAGAUUGGAGUUUGUUCCUUGUUGGAACAUGUUUACUGAUGGGAUAUCAUUAUUAUAUCUUGUCUAUUUUAAUGCAUCUAUAUACUUGGUAAAGGGUCGAAGGCUCGGCCUUAUGCCUGGUGUUGUGUCCCACUCUUGCCGCUCUAGUUUCCGUCAUACCGGUGUUAUGUUCCUUGAUUUUGCAUUCCUUACACGGUUGGGUUAUAAUGGGAACCCCUUGACAGUUCGCCUUGAAUAAAACUCUUCCAGCAAUGCCCAACAUUGGUUUUACCAUUCACCACCUAGCCUUUUCCCUUGGGUUUCGCGGACUCAAGGGUCAUCUUUAUUUUAAACCCCCGGGCCAGUGCUCCUCUGAGUGUUGGUCCAAACUGAGCUGUCUGCGGGGCCACCUUGGGGAAACUUGAGGGUUGGUUUUACUCAUAGCUAGUCUCAUCCGUUGUGCCCUGAGAACGAGAUAUGUGCAGCUCCUAUCGGGAUUUGUCGGCACAUUCGGGUGGCUUUGCUGGUUUAGUUUUACCAUUGUCGAGAUGUCUUGUAACCGGGAUUCCGAGUCUGAUCGGAUUGUCUUGGGAGAAGGAAUAUCCUUCGUUGAUCGUGAGAGCUUGUGAUGGGCUAAGUUGGGACACCCCUGCAGGGAUUUGAUCUUUCGAAAGCCGUGCCCGCGGUUAUGGGCAGAUGGGAAUUUGUUAAUGUCCGGUUGUAGAAAACCUCUAAGUUAAAUUAUUUAAAAUGAAUCAACAGAGUGUGUGGCCGUGAUGGUCUCUUUUCGGCGGAGUCCGGGAAGAGAACACAGUCUCGAGUUAUGCUUGAACGUAGGUUGUUCUAGGAUCACUUCUUGAUCAUAGUUAAUCGAUCAUGUCUUUGCCUUCUCUUCUCGCUCUCAUUUGCGUAUGUUAGCCACCAUAUAUGCUAGUGCUUGCUGCAGCUCCACCUCAUACCUUUUAUCCUUCCUAUAAGCUUAAUUAGUCUUGAUCGCGAGGGUGUGAGAUUGCUGAGUCCCCAUGACUCACAGAUUACUUCCAAAACCAGAUGCAGGGACCGAUGAUACCACUCCAGGAGAUUCGACUGAGCUCAAGUGGGAGUUCGAUGAGGACUCAGGACGAUACUACGUUUCCUUUCCAGACAAUCAGUAGUGGAGCCCAGUUGGGGCGACCGGGGACUUUGUUGCAUUUGGGUUUGUUCUUUAUUUUGGUUCCGUAGUCGGACAAUGAUUGUAUCUGGAUGAAUGUAAUGUUAUUUAUUCUACGGUGUGACGUGGCGAGUGUAAGCCAACUAUGUACCUUUUUCCCUUAUUCAUUACAUGGGUUGUGUGAAGAUUACCCCACUUGCGACAUUGCUUACAAUGCGGUUAUGCCUCUAAGUCGUGCUUCGACACGUGGGAGAUAUAGCCGCAUCGUGGGUGUUACAAACUCGUUUAGCACACUCUCAAUAUUGAUCCAAAGUAUAAACCUGUCAGACAGUUUCUCCGACGGUUCAAUGAAGAAAGGCGCUAGGCCAUUGGAGAAGAGGUGGCCCGGCUCUUGGCGGCUGGGUUCAUCGUAGAAGUCUUUCACCCAGAGUGGUUAGCCAACCCGGUGCUUGUACUCAAAAAGAAUGGCACCUGGCGUAUGUGUGUGGAUUACACCGAUCUGAACAAGGCUUGUCCGGCUGAUCCUUUUGCCCUCGCCCGUAUUGAUCAGAUCAUCGAUGCUACGACGGGUUGCGCACGUUUGAGUUUCUUGGAUUCUUAUUCAGGUUACCAUCAGAUCAAGAUGGCGGUCAAAGAUCAGGAGAAGACGGCUUUCAUCACCCCCUUUGGAGCUUUCUGCUAUGUACCUAUGCCUUUUGGGCUUAAGAGUGCCCAGGCGACUUAUCAAUGGUGUGUGCAGAAUUGUCUUCAUAAUCAGAUUGGAUGUAAUGUUCAUGCCUAUGUGGAUGGUAUAGUGGUUAAAUCCAGGAAAGAGGAAACCUUGGUUGCGGAUCUGAAAGAGACCUUUGAUAAUCUCCGGGUCUACAAAAUGAUGCUUAACCCGGCUAAGUGUGUUUUUGGAGUCCCAACCGGCAAGCUCUAGGGUUUUUUGGUGUCCAACCGAGGUAUUGAAGCUAACCCGGAGAAAAUCAAGGCAAUUACAUCCCUGGCCAAACCAACAUGCAUCAAUGACGUUCAACGGCUGGCAGGUCGUGUUGCUGCUUUGAGCCGGUUCAUAAGCCGGUUAGGGGAGAAGGCAAUGCCUUUGUAUCAGACGAUGAAGAAAACAGAUGAUUUUGUUUGGAGCGAUGCUGCAAACUCUGCUUUUGAAGAUUUGAAGAAACAGCUUGCUGAGCUGCCGGUCCUUGCUACUCCAGUUGAGAAAGAGCCGCUGUUGUUAUACGUGGCUGCCAACUCACGAGCUGUUAGUGUGGCUAUUGUGGUGGAGCGCAAGGAGGCUGGCAAGGAACAUCUGGUUCAACGUCCGGUUUACUACGUCAGUGAGGUGUUAAUUGAAUCCAAGCAACGAUAUCCACAUUGGCAGAAGCUCGUAUAUGGGGUGUUUAUGGCAAGCCGGAAGCUUAAACAUUAUUUUCAGGGUCAUCCAAUCACUGUGGUCAGCUCUGCUCCUUUGGGAGACAUCAUUCAAAACAGAGAAGCCACUGGACGAGUCGCCAAGUGGGACAUUGAGCUUGGGUCUCAUGGGUUGAAGUAUGUACCACGUACUGCGAUCAAAUCUCAAGCACUGGUUGACUUCAUUAAUGACUGGAUGGAGAUGCAGAUGCCAGAAGAGAAACCAGACAACACAUACUGGACUAUUCAUUUUGAUGGAUCCAGAUAGUUGGAGGGCUCGGGGGAUGGAGUUGUUUUAACCUCUCCUCGAGGUGACAAAUUUUGUUAUGUGUUACGCUGAUGUUUCCUUGCACUAACAAUGCAGCGGAGUAUGAAGCCUUGCUCCAUGGUCUUCGAGUGGCAAAAGAGAUGAGUUUGAGCCGGGUCAGAUGUCUUGGCGACUUAGAUUUAGUGGCUCAACAGGUGUCAGGCAAGUGGGAUUCCAAGGAUCCUCUCAUAGCGGCUUAUCGCCGGGAGGUUGAUGCUGUUGCAGGGCAUUUUAAAGGUUAUCAGGUGGAGCACAUUGACCGUAGGAAGAACGAAGCGGCUGAUGCUUUAAGCCGGUUGGGGUCUCAGCGUAAGCUGGUACCACCUAACACCUUUUUGGAUGUUUUGCAUAACCCGUCUGUCAAAUUGCCCACAGAAGAAGAUUUAGCCGUUCCUGACCCGGAGGCGCAGUUGGUGGUGGCUCUUCAUGUCAUCCCAGAUUGGAUAGUGCCGUUCUUGGCUUACAUGACCCGAGGAGAAUUGCCAGCGGAUGAGACUUUGGCUCGACAGAUAACCCGGCGGUCUAAGUCAAUGACGAUUUCAGAUGGAGAACUAUACCAUCGCAGCGUCUCUGGAGCGUUUCAGCGGUGUGUUUCCCCCGAAGAAGGCCAAGAAAUACUUCGUGAGAUCCAUGAAUGCGAUUGUGGUCAUCAUGCUGGGUCAAAAUCUCUGGUGGCCAAGGCUUUUCAUCGUGGUUUUUAGUUUUUACUGGUUGAUGGCUCACGCUGAUGUAGAGGAUUUGGUCAGCAGAUGUGAUGGAUGUCAAAAGUUUGCACAACGAGCACAUGUACCGGCUCAAGAGCUCCGGAUGAUUCCAAUCACUUGGCCGUUUGCGGUCUGGGGGCUUGACAUGGUGGGACCUUUCAAAAGGUCUAAGGAUAAAAAGACGCAUCUCUUGGUGGCAGUUGAUAAAUUCACUAAGUGGGUUGAGGCGGAGCCAGUAAGUAAGUGUGACGCGGCCACGGCGGUUCACUUCAUGAAAAAGGUGAUCUUCCAUUUUGGUUUUCCACACAGCAUUAUCACGGACAAUGGCACUAAUUUAUCCCAAGGGGCUAUGGACGAGUUUUGUCAACGUGAACAUAUUCGGCUUGAUGUUUCUUCCGUAGCUCAUCCUCAAUCUAAUGGUCAAGUUGAGAGAGCAAAUCGGUAAAUUUUAAAAGAUCUCAAACCCCGGCUUAUGGUUCCCUUAUAGCGAACACCGGGUUGUUGGAUAGAGGAAUUACCCUCGGUGCUGUGGAGUAUCAACACCACACCUAGCAGGUCUACAGGUUACACACCUUUUUUCAUGGUGUAUGGAGCAGAAGCAGUGUUGCCUAGUGACAUCCGUCAUGACUCGCCCCGCGUGGCGGCUUAUGUUGAAGCUAAUAAUGAACAAGCCAGACAGGAUGCACUCGACUUGUUAGAUGAAGAAAGAGACUUAGCAGCGGCUCGAUCAGCAAUUUAUCAACAGGACCUGCGCCGUUAUCACAGCCGCCGGGUUAAGUCCAGAACUUUUCAGGAAGGCGACCUGGUGCUCCGGCUCAUCCAGGAUCUGUCAGAUGCACACAAGUUAUCCCCACCUUGGGAAGGACCCUUUCUGGUCAGCAAGAACUUAACCAACGGGUCAUAUUACCUCAUCGACGUUCGAGAGUACAAAGACUCACGUAAGUCGGAGGAGGAGACCCGCCGGCCGUGGAACAUUGCUCAACUUCGGCCAUACUACACCUGAGCCACCGGCUCUCAUCAUGUACAUACUUUAACAUUGUAUAUACCAUGACAAGUAAUAAAGCAGGACCAUCGGUCUCUUUUCUUUUCAAAAGAUUAUGUAUCUUUGUUAUGUUUUAUUUUCAACUGACUAUUAAGGAGUUGAUCAUAUUUGAAUCAAGUCUAACCUUUUUUGGUCCAGCUUAUGAUCGUAAUCGAAUCUAGCUGCAAUAUCAUGGUCACUUGGGGGCUUCCUGUUCAAACAUAUGUCCUAUUCAAACCAAAGAGAACAUAGUUGUCGUAACCCUCUUGAUCGGCUCAAGGCCAAACUCACUUGGGGGCUUCUUGAUCGUAUCCGAAUCAUAGCUUAACCCCUUUUGGGUCUGACUUGGAUCGUAUUCGAAUCAGGUUCGUUAAAAACCUCUCAAGGUCAUUUGGGGGCUUCAUGUUCAAACAUAGGUCAUAUUCGAACCAAAGAGAACAUAGCUGUCGGUACCCUCUUGAUCGGCGCAACGCCAAAGCCACUGGGGGCUAUAUGGUCGUAUUCGAACCUUAGCUUAACCCCUUUGGUCUGGUUUACUGAUCGUAUUCGAAUCAGAAGCCCCCAACCUUUUCAAUACAAGGUUAAAUUAUACUUAUUAUCUAUUGUUUGCCUUUUAAUUUUUUGUUGUCUCAAUAUUACAAAUAAUUAGCCUCGUCUUCUUCGCCGGCUGGACUAUUUGACAACAAAGCCACCAAGGUAUGAUGAUCAUUGAGUAUUCAGAAGCAUUGACUUCUCAAAAAAAUUGAGUUAUCAACUUCAUUACCCGGGUCAUUUAAACCGGUGGUCUAAGGAUCAAAGGUACACAUAUGGUUAUUGUUUAUACGCAAUUGCCUGCUACAUUAACCAACGGGUUAGUUUCAGCCUUGUUCUCUUUUUUCUGUUUCUAUUUUUUAUUAUGGUAAACAUAUUGGCUAUAAGCCGGGUGUUCUAACCCGUUCGGUACUAAGCUGCCAAGCCAGUAUUUUCCCUUAUAUCUACAGGGACAGAGCUAAAAUAUUACAGGGACAACCAUAAGUAUGAUGCACAUAUUGACAUCAGGAAACACAGAAUCACAUAUAAGUGUUUUAUGCGUGAGGGCAUAAGCAAAGCAUAGUGUUUUCACAACUAAACUAUUACAAGGUUUUUAUAAACCCAUGAAGAUGAUUAUUGCUCCUUCCUCGCCGGUUCACCGCCCUCUAUUGGCUGGAAGCUGGGUUUUGACUAGUCAAAACCAUUCACGGCGACAAAUUCUGCUUCUUCGUUGAUCAGGCCGGCCGGGUCAACUUCCGGGGAAAAUGUAUUUUCUCUUACAGGUGGGAUCAAAUCUGUCACCUUGUACAAGGGAGUCGCCAUCUUCUUAUUUUCAACAUCAAAACCCGGCUGGUAUUUGUCGAUGUUGGUAUCAUCUCCAAGGGUAGUUACCUGAGGUCGGACUCCACGCACGCAAGCCAUGAAGUCAUCCUGCUCAAAGGGAGAUCCGUCUUCCUUCACGGUGGGAUAGCCUCUGGCCACGUCCGCCAGGUCUAGGUCUGGCACCCAAGCCUUGGAGCGGCUCAUGGCAGUCAAAGCUCCGGCUCGCGCAUAGGAGCGCUUCACUUCUUGAAAUCUGGCAGGCAGGACUGACAGUUUCUUCAAGACGUCGCUGAGCCGGUUGGGUCCUUGAUUGGCAGGAGAGAUGGCGGCAAGUGCCCGUUGUGCGCCAAUAUACAAUUGUUCUACUAAGGUAUACACUGCCUUCAGUUUAAUCAAAGGAUCUUAGCUCAGGUUUUUGCUUCAUGGGCCUGCGCAUAUUUUAUACACAAAGUCAGCUGGCGGCUUAUAUUCCGGAUCAGUAAAAAGUACACAAGAUUAAAGACAGAUGGCUUACCAAAGAUGGCGGCCUCCAUUUGAGACACCCGACCCUUUAAACCGUUCAGUUCUAUUGAAACCUCUUCAAGGGCUGCUUCGGCCUUUUCGGCACGUUGUGUCAGAAGCGUUUUUUCCUCUGCCCAGGUUUUCUUCUUGGCGGUGAAGCUGGUCUUUAAAUUUUCUGUCUCAGAGAGACUUAUUUGCAGUUUGGAGUUAGCGGAUUUGAUUUCUGCCUCCUAACUCGCUAGCCUGGUCUUCGCAUCAGUCAAUUGCGAGUUCAGUUCAGAUAAGGCAUUCUGCAAAAAAACACUCAGAUGAGUCAAGAUUUUGCUUAAAGUUCAAAAAUCAAGAUUCAAGUCUCAAGUACUUUACAAAAAACCACUUGACACUCGGGGGCUAAUGUAUGCCAAAACAAAUUUUUAUGACUCUAAAGACAUACUUUAAGUCCCAAGUACUUUACAAAGUAACAGCACUUGGCACUUGGGGGCUAAUGUAUGCAGUUCAGGAAGUUUCUCAAGGUUAAGCCGGAGUAUUAAGUCCUUUGAAUAUGGUACAAAACAAUUUAAAGUACCGACUCAUUUAUGAUUAAAAGGAACCAGCCCUUGGGGACUACAAGUGAAGCUUUGUUCUAUUUUAGUGAAUUCAAGAAAAGUUUCAAAGGUAAAGGUCUUGGCCUAUAUUAUAAAGUCUACAGAUCAUUCCGGUUCUCUCAUAAUGUGAAGACUUGGGGGCUGGAGGAAUAUAGAUAAGCCGGAAGAACAUACCUCGUAUUUCAACUGCAACUGUUUGACCAUUUCGAUCUCAGAGUCGCGACUAGAGUACACAUGGCUGAGAUAGCUGGAUAAAAUAUCGUUGGCAUUUAGAUGAUCAUAAUUGGCAACGUCAAAGCGCACUUUCUGCCUCUCCAAUGCCUCUUGUUUCGUCGUGUGGCGAGCCAGCAUAGUUGGAUUCCCCGGCUCAAUAAAACGGCUCCCGGUGAUCAAAACAUCUUGUGCAGACGGUGAUGGCGGGUUGGCUGAGCUUGAUGGUCCAGUUGUGGAAGGGUUCACAGUGGUCUCAUCAAACGACGGCUCAGGAGGAUUUUCUUCUGCAUCGACAGGCGGGUCUUCUGGAGCGUCAGUUAAUGGAGGAGAAGAUGGCCUGGCCGGGUCAGAUGCAAGCAUUGGCGGGUCUUCCGCCGGUUUAGCUGCCUUUACCUUCUUGGACUUAGCUUGGCCAAUAAGAGAAAUGUUGCAGGACUGUCAGUAUAAAAAUACAAUUUGAACAACCCGAAAAAAAGGAGGAUUUUUCAUUACCCAGGGGCAGUCUUGAAGGCCGGAAAUUCAGUCUGUGAUGAGUCGCCAGAAGAGCGAGACACCUCCUGAAAAGAUAAAAUAAAGUUAAAGUAAUGCAAGGGAAAGGAUCCAUUAAACGGAGUUAAUUAAGGACAAAAGAAGUAAACCUCAUUCCGGCGCUUCUGAGGAGUUUGUUGAAGAACAACAGCCGGUUCGUCUUCGGUCCGGGCUUGACGGCGGCUCUCAUGUUGCUGCUUUUUCAAAAUAAAGUUGGGAUCCAAGUGAGCUAAAGGGUUAGAAAACCUUACUUUACGGAUCACUCGUCGAAUUUUUUGUCUUGGCAAGGGCUCUGAGUCGGAGGAAAUGAUAGUUACCUCUUCUUCUUCCACGGCCUGACUGGCCCCAGUGUCAUCCUGGUAAUGAUCAGUGUUAAUAAGAUUAUUAAAAAAAAUUGGCCAAGGGAAUCAAGGGCUACCUCCGACUCAGAUGUAUCGUCAAGCUUCAUCCAAUCUUCAGCAGUGUUCUUCUUCUUCUUUUUCGACCUCCGGGUCGUCUUCUUGGCGUUUAUGGCUGCGGCUCUCGCUUUCUUGGCAGCCUCGUGGUCAUAUUUAACUUUCCAGAAGUCAGAGUUGGCCUGCAGACAGGUAAAAACACGAUGAAAAGGUCAGGCAAGUAUUAAACAAUACGGCUGGGAAAAAUACAAAGGAGAAGAGAUCAGAAUAUCCUUACUUCUGGCACCGGGUUAAGCUUGCAGAAGGGGUUUAACCCGACAAUACUGCAAUCUUCGUAUUUACCGUUCACCAAAAGGGUUGACAUUGAAACAAUAUCUUCUUCUGUUAAUUGAGCGGGGUUGUGACGAAGAGAGUCAUCCGGACCUCCACCAUACUCAUACAUCAGCUUUGACUGACGGCUUAGAGGGAUGACCCGCCAUGAGAUCCAGCAGCGGGUCAGAUCAACUCCAGUUAACCUGUUCCCUAACAGAGCAUUAAUCCUUUUGAUGUAUGGUAUCAGCUUUCUGCGUUCAGCGGCAGUGAGCUUGUCAGGAAGCGCGAACUUGGAGUCAAGACGUUCGGAGCGAUAACCCGGCAAUGGCCUCUCGUUUGCCGGUGAAAUGUCUUGGCAGUAAAACCAAGUCUGAUUCCAGUCUUUUGGAUGACUCGGCAAGACUAUGGGGGGGAAGACAGCGCCCUGCCGGCGUUGAAUUGAGAUGCCUCCAAGCUCUAAGCUAAGGUCGUUGGUGCACUUGUUUUGCCAGUUCAGAUAAAAGUAUUCUCUAAACAGAUCCACAGUCGGCUCUUGUUGAAGAUACACCUCACAGAGCACUUGGAAGUUACAGAUGUUAGAUAUGGAAUUGGGCCCAAUAUCUUGAGGGUGGAGUUUAAAAAAGUGGAGGAUCUCUCUGAAGAACUUUGAGCCGGGCGGUGAGAAGCCACGGUUCAUAUGGUCAGUAAAAACAAUCACCUCACCUGCCCUUGGAUUGGGUCGUUCUUCGUCUGGGUUAGGGGCACGGUAAGACAUGACGUCUUUUCCUGGCAGAAAUCCUAUGGUGAAGAACUCUUUCAAACGUUCCUCAGUUACGGUUGAGGGAACCCAGUUACAGAUGGUUGGUGCUUUGGACGGCAUGAUGUUCAAAGACGAACUGAAAAGAAAGACAACAUGCCGGUUCAAUUCAAUGGUGAUUUUAAUAGUUAAGUGAUGAUGAUGCAAAUAAGUAAUGGCGGCUUAAUUAAGGGCUAAUGUCAUAUAAGGAAAAGAAAGCCGGCACAGUAAGCCGCCAUGACUGUAGAUAUUUGAAGAAAGCAAAUUUAGCUACAAAUUUAGCUAAGUGUUGAGACAAAUAAGUUUCCUAAAUUGCUUGGUAUUAUUCCAGAUCAAGUGGUUAUUCACAAUCCAAAAAAAUUCUAGACCUAAAAAGUUUGGUGCAGAGGAGUCUGUAAGUUCUAAUGAGGUCUUUGAACCAGAGAAAGAGAUCUGUGGAUAUCAAGAGUAGGCACAAAACCACUACCCCACAAGCAUGCAUAUCUUUUUGGAUCAAGAAGAACUGCAGUGGAAGAACUGCGAAGAACUACGAUGAACCAUGAAGAACACGCAGGAGCCUGGAAACCCUAAUGCAGAUCUGAGAAACGAAAGGAAGAACACUUACCGUCGCAGGUCUUCUGCGGAGGUCGCCGCCGUUUCUCUGGACCGAUUCGAGUUGAUGCAGCGGCCAAGGUCGACGAAGACGAAGGAGAAGCGCGACGGCGGUGAGGCUCGAGCAGCAGAAGGGUUGCGAGAGGAAGAAGACGGAGAGAGAGAGAAGAAUGAGGAAGGCCGAAGCGUGCCUAUUUAUAAGGAAAAUGUGAACAGACGGGCGCGAAAAUCGAGGGAUAGCCGAAUAAUGGUUACCCAACUACACAGACGCCUCGAUUCUCGGAAGACAUUAAAGAUGAAGAUCCGUUGGGAGAUGACGUCAUAAAAGUUUUUUGCGUUUUCAAGAGAUGACAUCAUGGCGGGUUACAAGAACUUCUGCAUGGAUAAGAAGAUGGAUUUUGUUUAAGUGUUGAAGAUUGACAAAGAACGAAGUUCAAAGUCAACCUGGGCCUAAUGUUGGGGAUAUAACUAUCAGUUAUGACCCGCCCAGGAGGGGCCGGGUCAGCCCCAAUGGCGGGUUACACAAGAAGCCCAGUAAACCUUAAAGACGAUAGUUUGUCAAAUCUUAUAGAAGGCCCAAAGGCCUGGAGGCGGCUUAAGGCCCGGUAUUGUGAACCGCCGUAUGUAAGGAAAGACUUGUAAAGAAAGGCAUGUAAAAGAAGUCACCGAGCCGGACACGAUUAUGAGCCGGCCGGGACUCUGUAAACCACCAGGCGUCAACCCGUGUAUAUAAGGGGACGACCCGGUGGCGGCUUAGGGCAAGAAACAAGAGCUCGAUAACCAAGCCGACGAGUUAAGCCUCUUGGUGAUCGAACCCCCAGCAAUACCAACACAACUAGACGUAGGCUUUUACCUUCAUUGUAAGGGGUCGAACUAGUAUAAAACCUCUCGUGUCCUUUGUCCCGAUUAACCCCUUUAAGCUUCCUAGUUGCGAUGGCCCUACGACUAAGUCCUUUCUCUAGGACAUCUGUCGUGACAAUUCCACGACACCCUGCGUCCGACAUCCUCAUCCAUUGGCUCGGCACGGGCAUGAGCAUCCAGCGUUGCCUGGUUGCCCAAGGGGAGCUGGGGCCGGAGGAAAAGGGAUGUGGCGUGCCUGACGACAAAUCUGCAGUGGCACGGAGCAUGAUGGGCGCCGUGCUCGCCCACAUUGCGUAGCCAGGUCAUCAGGGGCGUCGCAGGGCUCAAGCUCCUGCCAAUGUCCACCCGCGAACGUUGGAUGGCAAUGCGGAGCGCGAGCUCCUCGUCGUCCAGAGGCUCGUUGCCGAAGCCAUCCUCCUUCGAGAGCUUGUCCCAGUCGAUGGAAUCAGACUCGCUGUCGAAGUGGCUAUCGAAGACGGCCAUGGUGGGGGGAGGGGGGGAUGGGAAGGGGAGGAGUCGAAAAGUGGAAGCGAUCAAGAUUAUGGACUUUGACUAGGGUUUCAGCCGGCGGUGGAUUAUUUGUGGGCUCAUGGUGGCCCAUAGUGGGCCAUAUUUGAUGUGGCAAAUGAGUCGAGGCCUUCCCAUAUCUACCUUAAAUAUGAGUUGGGUACUGAGGGUGUCGGACAGCCGAGACAUUUGGGUUGAGUUUGCCAGGUCCAGUUGGAUGACAACUUGUUGUCCGGAGAGUAACCGAUUUGUUAUCCGGAUAGUAACUGAGCAGACCGGUCAAACGUUUGGGGAGGAUAAUGGGGACUCUCGUUGUAGAUGCUCUCGACACAACAUGCAUCGCUAAUAAUACAGUCAGAAAUCUCACAAUAUUUAAUUGCACAUUUUUUAGACGAUAGCAACUUUGCAAAUUCAUUGAAGUGUUAUUCAUCACGAUAACAGGAUUGUAAUUAACUUCUGACUUAUUGUGCCCGUUCAGAGGCCCUCCGCUCCACAACUCUGUCACGAGCGGAGUGGGCUGCAGUUCAAAUUUCCAAAGCGAUGGAAUAGGUGCUCCGCCAGAUUCGUGGAGCCGGUGGAUUACCAAACAGGCCCAUCAUAUCGACGUUCCUACUCUUAAAUUGUGUGUACUGAGUCUUACGAACACGAACCUGUCAACAUUUUAACACCUAAAACAAGCCAAAUCAAGCAAUUUUACGCCCUUCAAGUGCUAAAAGAGUGAAAUAUUUUAACAGCAUCACACUGCAAUAAUCAAGCCACGACGGCGGAUAACAUAGUGAUCUCCUGACAAUAUUUACAUGCGUGGACACAUACUUGCAGUGAACCCACCCAAUAAAAGCUGUACAUUUUUUUCUGGGAUAUUUUCUCCCAAGGACUGUUCCUAGCAUAUUUUAGAUAUAUGUACACCGCUGAAUGCUGAGACUACAAUGGCUAGAACUAGCAAACCAUUUUUGAGAACAGAUCAUCGAGAGCCGAGUACAAGGGUUGCGCAGCUCUGGGCUUCUCCACCCUCCCAAACAGGAUAUCGGUCGUGGUCACGUAGGCGUCCCCAUAGAAGCGCAGAUUGGUGUCUGGUCUUGUUGUCACGACAUUUCCUUCAAGGGAGACCCCAACAAAGGCACCUGUUUCAAGUUUUGAGAUGAAGCUAUGAAUCAGAAGGAUACUGAGAUACCUGUAAUGAAGCCUACAAGAUUCUUAACAGGGAAAGCCAAACAUUGGAGACUGAAUUUAAUUGAAAAGGCAUCCUUUGGCUAAUGAGAAGACAGAAUGUGUGCCUAUGACCUUUUUUUCCUCCUUAAAAAUGAGAUUGUAAAGUAACUUUCAAACAUUAUUUUACAUGACACAAUAAACACUCUUAAACUUGACAAAUAACUUCAGAGGACAAGCUCAGUCCAAAGUUUAAAAACUUAAAUUUGUUUUUUUUAGAGUUAAAUACACUGGAGGUGCCUCAACUUGUCCUGGGCGGUCAGUUUGGUGCCUAAAGUUGCAAAAUACAUGAAACUAGUGCUUGAACUUGUCUAAUCGUGCAAAUAUGGUGUCUCCUUAAAUAUCCAAACGUACGUCCAAUCUGCAUGACGUCCCAGCAUGGCGGUGGCCCACCUAUAAGUGGCUGAGAGUGGGAAAGUGUUGGGUACUCCGUGCAUGAGGAAUUAUUUUACAAAACCCCCCUUAUAUUUAUUUUAAUCACAUAGGAAAGACGUGAAAUACAGUGUAUGCUAGCGAGAAAUAAGAUGAAAAAAUCAUCAUGAAGGGGUUUAAAACCUCCUGGUCAACUACGGCUGAUCUGUCCACUUGCCCAAAAUAUGUAUUGUGUUCACCUCUUAGCUAGAAAGCUAUGUGGACGCACGUAUCACUCUUUAAUUUUCCUAAUUCGUUAUCUAUCAGUUUCAUUUUUAUUUUUAUCCAAUUUCUUGUUUAGUUUCAUGAGAUGUAACUUUCCCAUAUAAAAAAUACAAUAUGCAAUUAUUUUUUAUUUUAAAUAUUUUUUCUUUUUUGUUAUUGCAUACUUUGAAGAGGUAGGCAUUAACUUUUCAAAAAUUUAUGGGGAUUGAAAUAGUUCUGCCUAUAUUAGAAAUUAUUGUGUAAAUUUAUGUAUGUUCAUUCUGGACCACAAGCACACACUAUUAUUGUUUAUCUUCAUUGUAUUUCUAAAAUACCUAAUUAUUAACAAUUUUACAACGUUGUAUUCUGUAAACUAUUUAACAUGCAUUAAAAGGUAUUUUGGUGAGCUUUUUAAUACAAUUAUUCAAAAAUGUUACAGAAUAAUUUUAAUACACGUUCAACUCUUUUUAAAUACACAUUGCCAAUUUUGUAAUGCGAGACAAACAUUUUUUAAAUGCACAUUCUAAUUUUUUAAUACAUGCUAAACAUUUUUCAAAUGCACUAACACUUUCUUUGAGUUUAUGGCAGUCGUAUUUUUUCUUACAUUUUUUCUUGAACGAAAAAAACAGUGUGAAAAAUAAAAAUAAAGAACUUGAAAAACUGAAAUAAAGUUUGUGCGGGUCCAUAGAAGUGCCAUAUAUAAAUAAGAAUCGCUUGAAGAGGUACAUAGCAACCAAAGAGGAUUUUUAGAGCAUGGUGGCCACUGAGCACAUUUUUUAAAGGCUAACAUCUGCCACUUAAAAGUUUCAAAAGGAGUUGAUUGUUUUCACACAAAAAUGUAUGCAUGUGCUCUAAGUGACUUUCAAAUUUCAUUUGAAAUUAUGUUAUAUUAUAUCCUGCAAAAAACAAGAGAACAUCACGGCCAAACAAAAAGCCAAUUUUUGCAUGUAUUUGUCUUUUUUAUCUCUCGCAUACAAGCACAUAUAUUAAUGAAAAUUCACAAGGAUAUAUUACACUUCUAUGUGUGCAUGUACAAAAAAUCAAAAACAUUCAGAAAUUUUUUAGCUAUAAAAAAUCCGUUUCUUUGAACUUCAAAAAAAUAGGACACAACCCGUGCUCCAAAGUUACUUUAUGCAUAGCGAUGCAAUAUAUGGAGUUCGACCUCAAUAUUUACUGAGCUAUGUAUGGCAUGGUGGACAACCUUUGCGUACAAUGCAAUGUGUGACAACGAGGGUUCGAUCCUGUAUCACAUUUUUUUUUCCCUUUUCUAAUUUCUAAUUCAUGAGAUUUGCCUGCAUGACUAAUUAUAUGAGGGGGUCUUGUAAAAAAAAUCCUCACGCUCGGGCCACCUAGCGCCUUCCAACUCUCAGCCACUGCCACGCUGGCACGCCACGCAGGCUGGACGUACGUCCGGAUACAGAUGGAGGCGCCGUAUUUGCAUGUCAGGACAAGUUCGAGCACCAGUUUCAUGUAUUUUGCAACUUUAGGCACUAAACUAACCGUGCAAGACAAGUUGAGGCACCUCCAGUGUAUUUAACUCUUUUUUUACUUGAUAACAGUGUUAAAAUUGUGCUGAUUUCCACCCAUUUCAGUCAUGUCUAAUGCACAUCUGAAACAACAGCAAUAAUUCUCAGACGCGACUUUCUUAUUACCUUUGCUGCAGCUAUAAGUGUAGCAUAUCCCAGAACCUUUUUCACUUGCUCGAACAUCUGCUUCAAGGGCUCUGCCAAUUGGUCCUGCUGCCGCACUCAAUCCUGCCCCAAGAGAAAGAUGCAUGCGGCUGCUGAAUGCCUUGACAGCUUUAAGAUCAUGAAGCACAAUUAUAAAAUCUGUCAAUUCUCCUCCAAUCUGGAAAACACAAAGAAAUGUCAUUAUCAUGGUGAGAUGAUCUUAAGUAAUGACAUAGUGUAGUUCAGUGUCCAAAUAACAAGAGUGCUUCAACAUAAACUUGUCUCUGAUAUCAUGCCAAUCUCAUAAGCAAACAGGACAUGAUGCUUAAUGCAUUUCAUGGAAAUUAUUCUGUGAAGAUCACAAGAAUGAAAUGAGUAACAUGCAUGUUCCUUUUGUCUGGUGAACAUCACAAGAAUUAUAUCACCAGCAGAUAAGCUUAGGCGUUGCCCGUGGAUUCAGAGAGAAGAUUUUACUGGAGAAAUACCUGCACUCCCCAUCCCAAUCCAACAGAUAAAAUCGCUGAUGGCGCAGACCAUGAUCCAUCUGAUCGGCGAGCAACUACAAGACCAGUGCCCAUUUUGUACGUAAGAACUGCACCUGCUUUGGCCACUGUGAGCACAGCAAGCCCCUUUGCUCCCUUGAGGAUAGAUGAUGGUAUUGACUUCUCAGGAUUUAAUCUAGAAACCUACACAUACCAAAACAGAAACACUUCUCAGCUCUGGAAUACAAGUAUAUAUCGGUUGGGUACAAAAUUAAACAUACCUGGCAAUAUUUCCUCAGUGUGUUUGUUGCCUUGUAUAUUUCAUACUCCAUUGAUAAUCCAACAGGCAAAUUCAACCAGCUCCUCGUACUUGUCCAAUCCAUGACGUCAUGUUUGGCAGGCUGCAUGGCAUUACUGUUGUAGUUGAUCAAUAAGGCCUGGAGUGGAUCAAGUCUAUCGUAGCAAGCAUCACACACUCUCUGAGGAUCACGCAGUCUGAACUUCAUGGGCAUCAAGCAUCUUCCCUUGGAACAUUCUUUGCAGAAUAUACCUCCACAGAAGCGGCAAUGGUGCCUUCCACGAGUCAGAGCUGUGAAAGGACAGCUGCACUGCAGGCAUACACUGGUAGAGCUAUCCGGUAACCAUUCCGGGGGAUCUGCCUGAAGCACCUCCCUGUAUGCACUGAACUGUAAAGCAUUUGCCUCAAGUAGCGGCGGUGCACUCGGAACGCAAACAGAUGAAUGCAAAUCACCAUCCUUGCCAGCACCUAGAAAUGAUACAUCCAUGCUGAAACUUUGCUGCCGUGAUGCAUCAUCCCCAAUCUUGCUUGGACGCGAAACAAUUGCAGCAAGACCACCUAGAACGGUCUUCAGGUUGAUAGUUGAGCUAGCUUGAGCUGUCGGAAAGGGAUCUUCUCUUGAACCAUAUUCAGAUGGAAAGUCUGGUUCCAGAGAUGGCUCAUAGAGAUAGUCAUACACUGGGUAUGUGUUUUCUGGAGCUAGAUCGGACAUAGGAGCCGCCUGGCUGUGGUAGCUAUCAAUUUUGGAGAGGGAUGAGUACGAUGUCACUUCAUUUGGGGUCUCCAUGGGAUCAUGUAGAUACAGCACUCAUGUAGGUAAUAAGCAAUGACACAGAAAGACCUGAUAAAACAGAGAUGGAAACAAAGAUCAAUAAGGUGCAGAUCCUUCAAAGUGUCGCUACUCUCUAGUUCAUAAUACAACAUUAUUAUAACAAGCCCAUUCUUUCACCCAAUUCAUUCUGUUUAUUGUCUACUUCUAGCAAAUAUAUCAAACUUUAUAGUGUAUACACGUAUGUGAGAUAUUGCUAACAACUUUGAGUAGCCUUCUAAUUGUGCAAUGUAUUCAGCAUCACGCAUUGCAACAGAGCCACUAACAAUCCGUGUAACUCUGUGCAUCAUGACUCCAAAACAAGAGGUGAAACCGCAGCUGCACUGCAGCAAAACACACCCAAAGUAACUCCCAAAACGCGACCGCUUAACCACGCAUGCCUAGCGUCCACGGGUAAGCAACUAAGCAAGCAAUUGGGGGCAAUUUCUGAAACCCUAGACGAAAUAGAUGGGUCGAUCAACGGAAAAAUCAACCCUGCCUAGCCAGUAGAACAGCAACCGCGAACAAACACCACAGAUCAAUCAAAAAAAUACUGCAUGAUCGCAUCAAACGACUCGGCAAGCGUAAGGCAGCUAAGCUAAAUCAAUCGUCUCCACCCGUCCGCCCUAACGAAUCGCCCCGCCGUAGAACGCGCGAGCCACGGAGGAGAAUUGAGGGGAGCAGGCGGUACCGACCUAUGGCCGCGCCGGAUCGGAGGGCGGGGGCCGGGGGCGGGGGUUCGAGGCGGUCGUCGCGGGAGGACGUCGGGCGUGGGGAUUGGGGUGGGUUUCUUCCGUUCGCCGGCGUGUGAAGGGGAAGAAGUUGAAGGAAGUGCCGAUGCGGGCACGCCGCACGCGGCUGCCUCAUCUGUACGUUAUCGGGCUCGGGCUUGGGCUGGGUCCUGGUCAAUCCGGUCCGACCUGGGUGGGCAGAGCCGUGACGGAUUCGGUUUGCUUUUCGGACCCGCGGGGCCCACUUCAGGCCCAGGAAGGCAGGUGAUGCGGGAUGAUGGGCCGGCCGGUUUUGCGCCCUCUCCUAUCGUGCUGCCGUGUGACACCGGCCGCUCCGGCCUCCGGCGGCCGCGGCAGAAAGCGAAGCUCGACCGCUCGAGACUGGAGCGGCGCGACGGCGUGGCUCGCCCGGGUUCUUGUCGGCAGCCGCGGCUGCGAGCUGGCGGUGUGGAGGAGGAGGGCGGCCGGCGCCCGCGUCCGGGUCUUCCGUCUGCGCGCCUAUCGCGUGUGAGUCCUCUGCUUAGCUUGUUGCUUCGGUUCCGUGGAAAUAUCGCUGAAAUCUUCCGGGUUAGACCGAAUGCCCAAAUUAUUUUAUUGUCGGUCGUAGAUUUUGAUCUCGGGUGCCUCGAAAUCGAUCGCCCAGAACUACCGACCAGCGAGCUCUGAAGGUUGUCACGCGCCGCUCUUGCCAAAACCAAGAAAUUAUUAUGUCUUGGACUAAAAAAAGAAUCGGAAUGGGAAGUAUUCGAUCUUAUAUUUCUUUGAAUGGGAGUACUAUUUAUUUCUUGAUUCUCCGGCUAGCAUCAUUACUUCCUUCUUCAAUAGAAACUCUCUGUUUUGGCUCGGUUUAAACCCAAAAAAGGCUUCUGCCACACGAAACCUGCUACGGUUAGGAAAUGAACAAAAGGUAUCAAGAGGUCCCUCACCGUCAUUUGCAAUGCAAUUGCCCCCUAUUUGUCAAGUACCCCUCUUCCUAUAUAGUUUAGGGAGUUAAUGUAGCCCUAUCCAGUAUUUUAGUGGUAAGAUUUAUAGGAACGAAAAAAUAUGAUUUUUUUCCUUUCAUUUCAUUAGGGUGCGAGGGGUUCUUAUUCCACAAGAACGAAAUUACCUUUUUCAAUAUACUACAGGUUUUUAUUUAGAAAAGACAAUAUUUCAUACUGAAGGAUUUGGAUCCAUAACCACGAGUUCCAGUGCACUAAGGUCUUGUAGCCCUUGGCAACGAGGCCCUAUCCAAUAGUAUUCCUCAUAGAAAAUCCAUUCUAAAAAAACAACUAAACAAACUUGGGGUUUGUGAGCCAAGGUAAGAUUGAGGCGGAGGAGGAUGGAGAGGUGCUAGCUUGGCAAGAUAGGAAGUUCAAUGUGUAUGUAGACCUCAUGUAGAUUUGGUUUCACUGUUACCACCCUUUUCGAGAUCUUAUAGGAUUAGCAAGAUGUUCUAGUGUUAACUAUAGAGAAAUUUAAUUAAUGAAAUAUAUCUAAAAAGAAAGGAAGCCAUGUCUUUGUGAAAGUCUGAAGAAAAAGGAUUUUGAAUCUUCCUUUUCCCUUUUCCCUCAGAAAAAUGACUCAAUCAAAAUCCGGUCCUAAUAAAUGUUAAUUGCACAGAAUUUUGGGAAACUUGGGAGUAAAACAAAGACUAUCUUAUUCAUUCAUUCAAAUACUGUAUCCAUGAGAAAGUACCAACAACACAGCAUCCAUCCAGUUCCCCUACCGCGACAACACGGGGACUCAACAGGAAAAAGUUCAUCACUGAAUCAAGAACGGUAACAAAGGACAAGCAAAGGCAUAACACCCUCCGAUCUGUGCUCCAUCACUGAAUCAAGAACGGUAAAGCGGAGCGCUCGCCCGCCAUUUAUUUCUCUGGUAAGGACAAAUCAUUUGCCCGAGGUCUCGCCCUCAACAGCCAAUGGGACAGUUUCAGCCUGCACACAACAAAGGCACAGAGAAAUUAAGUCUCAAGACAUGAACCGAGCUGAAAUUAUCAAGGUGGUCGAACGCAAUGUCAUGGCACAUACCAUUUUGCGGUACUUGAGGGCGUAGAGCAUUUCAAGGUAGCGACGAGUCUCGCGCCUGUCGAGGUUGGAGACGUACUUCCAGAAACCAUAGACACCAGAAAGGGUCAUCAACCUCUCAGAGUACAGCUUCCAGGUGUACCUGCGUCAAGAUCCCAGGGCAUCAAUCUCAGCUCAGUGCUGUUAAAAGAGUCAGAGCAUGUGCAUCAGAUGGUAACAUAGAUAGGUAACAGAGAAUUGCAUAUAUACUUCUCCUCGAUGCGCUGGAGUCCUCCCUGCGAGAUCUUGUUCCAGUGGCUCGGGUCUUCCUUGCACUUCCCAAAGAAGUCCACAAGCAGUGCGGAGGCCUUGUCAUUCUGGUAAGGAUCGAUGUGGUAGCCGGACACACCAUUCACAAUGAUCUCAGCUGGACCACCAUAUGCAGUGGCGAAUGUUGGAAGGCCACAUGUCAUGGCCUCUAUCACAGUAAGACCGAAAGCCUCAUAGAAAGCAGGCUGAGCACAGGAAGCCAAACAUGAAAAAAGAGCGUCAGAACUAGUAAAUGUCGUGAUUCAGUCAUAGUGAGUUCCUAGGUUGACAGUGUCCUUCACCUGCACAAAGGCUCCCUUCAUGUCGCAGAUGUAGCGGUAGAGCUCACCAUUGCGGACACGGUUCAUCUGAGCAGAGAUCCAGCGGAUGUGUCCAAUCAGGUUGUACUGUUCAAUAAGAUCAAACAUCUUCUUGAACUCUGCCUGCUCCUCCUUGUCCUUGGACACCUUUCCAUGGUCACCACAGACAACCACUAGGUUUACCAGCUCCUGUAGGCGAGGAUUCCGCCCAUACAUUUCUACCAGGCCAGUCAUAUUCUUGACACGGUCCAACCUAGCCAUCGAGAAGAUGAUCGGCUUCUUCUUGUCCUUCAGCACAAAUCUGGAGAGGUAGUCAAGUUAGAUAACCAGCACGGUAGGCAAUCUAUUUUAUAAGUCAAGAGUUAUAUAUGAUUAUACUUGUGCUCAGCAUUCUCAAUAUCACUGAAGAGUAGCUCCUCAAUCUCAGUAUGGAGGGAGGUAAGCCUCUUCUGCUGUUCAGUGUAUGGGAAGUAGAUGGACAUGUCAGCACCAGGGGAGACGAUGUUGAACUUGGGGUCGAAGACAUCAAUACCAUGGACAACACGAUAGAGGCCAGGCAUUGUGAAUGCCAUGUGCGACUCGUACUGCCCUACGGUGUCCUUGCUGAAAAUUGAACGAUAAACAUUAGAUCAGUUUAUCCUAGUUGCAAAUGACCACGGCGGUGUUUCUGUGAAAGAGAGAAUCUUACUUUCCGGCAAUCUCUUGGAAAGUACUGGUGAUGAUGAAGUCGGCAUGGUUCAUUGCAAUCAGGUCGGCUGUAAACUGGCAGGAGAAGUGGUAGUGAUCCUCGAAUUUCUUCCAGUAAAGGUCGGAGUUGGGAUACUUGGUUUUCUCAAGUGCAUGAGCAAUGGUACACUGCACAUGAGGAAAUAAGAAUUAUGAUAGGAUACUACGGAGAUGAGAAUACAUCUUGUACUGAGCAGAAGGGGUAGAAUGCGUACAUGGGUAACUCCCAACUUGUGAGCUAACAAACAUGCGACUAGGUUGCCAUCACUGUAGUUUCCAAUGAUCAGGUCAGGAGUGGCCUGCAGCUCUCCGGCGAUCUCGUGUGCCACAUCCUGAAAGCAACAGGAAAAAAAUUAUGGAUUGCCAUUCUAAUGAAACGCUACAAACAACCUGCUGGAAAGUGAAAUGCAUACAUCAGUGUAAGCUUCCAGGUAAGGCCAGACUUCAAAACGCGAGAUCCAUUUGCGAACAAUACCAUCUUCUGUUUUGAAUGGC